AACUAAGUUUAUUCUGGCUUUAUGCUUUCGUGUGCAUGCACACUUCUUCAUAUACACUUCUUCAGAUACACUUCUGAAUGCCUUCUUCAGAUACACUUCUUCAGUGUGCAUCUGAAGAAGUGUGCUUGCGCACGAAAGCUUAUACCCAGAACAAACUUAGUUGG